rnacentral:ncRNA from 2 species
CCGUUCUCAACGGGGUGCUGCAGGCCAACGGCUAUGCGUGCUGAGAAGAUACCCGUCGAACCUGAUCCGGAUAACGCCGGCGAAGGGAUUUGAGGCUCACUCAAAA